UCAACAACAGCUUGUCAGACACCUCCGUAGCUUUCUAGCAAACACAGCUUCAACAUUCACGCUCUUUACACUGUUUUUGGUGUAUAUUAGUCGCUGUGUAUUAAACAUACUUCUGUCAUAUGUACUUGUUGACCAAUUUAAUAAUAUAUUUACGUUGUUUGUCAGCUAGCUGGUUUGCUAAGUUAGCUUAGAACUAGGCUAGUCGCUAAUGCUAGCUGGCUAACAUCUCCGACCAUGAGUUCACUAAGCUACUCUCUUCCUGAUAAAGAAGAGGAGGUUUGCUGGACGGAGAAAGAAGCUCUCAUCAAAGAGGAGGAGGAAGAGAAAUAUGUUACUAUACAAAAACAAGUAGAGGGUGAGGCUGUUACUGUGAAAGAAGAAGAGAAAGAUGUUUCAGUGAAAGAAGAGGAAGACACGUUCAGAGUGAAAGAGGAGGGUGCAUUUUUUGGAGUGAAAGAGGAGGAGGGGGAGAUUACUGUCACAUUGGAGGAAGAAAAGGAGGUUGGAGAUCUGUUUAACACCAGAGAGAGACGGGACUAUCGUGGAUCCUUUGGGAAGCCUCAACAACCUUAUGAUGCUGAAGAGGCAGAGAAGAGUCUCUCCAGAUCAGAACACCUCAAUAAACACCUGCAGAGAUCCACAGGGAGGAGAACUCAUUGCUGCUCUGACUGUGGGAAGAGAUUCACGUCAUCAGGCAUUAAAAUGCACCAGAGAACACACACAGGAGAGAAAUCGUAUAGCUGUGUUCAAUGUGGGAAGAGUUUUGGUGGAUCUGGCUCUCUGACAGUGCACCAGAGAACACACACAGGAGAGAACCCUUUCAGCUGUGGUCAUUGUGGGAAGGGAUGCACUACAUCUGGCCAUCUAACUAUACACCAGAGAACACACACAGGAGAGAAACCUUAUAGCUGUGGUCAAUGUGGUAAGAGUUUUGGUCAAUCUGGAGAGCUCACAGUGCACCAGAGAACGCACACAGGAGAGAAACCUUAUAUCUGUGUUCAAUGUGGGAAGAAUUUUGGUCGAUCUGGCUCUCUGACAGUGCACCAGAGAACACACACAGGAGAGAAACCUUACUGCUGUGAUCAAUGUGGGAAGAGAUGUACUACAUCUGGCAAUCUAACUCUACACCAGAGAGCACAUACAGGAGAGAAACCGUAUACCUGUGGUCAAUGUGGGAAGAGUUUUGCUGCAUCUAGCACUCUGACUCAACACCAGAGAACACACACAGGAGAGAAACCUUUCAGCUGUGUUCAAUGUGGGAAGAGUUUUGCUGCAUCUAGCACUCUGACUCUACACCAGAGAACACACACAGGAGAGAAAUCCUACAGCUGUGUUCAAUGUGGGAAGAGUUUUAGUCAAUCUUGCCAUCUGACUCUACACCAGAGAACACACACUGGAGAGAAACCGUAUAGCUGUAAUCAAUGUGGGAAGAGCUUUACUCAGCUAAACAGUCUGAUUUUGCACCAGAGAACACACACAGGAGAGAAACCUUACAGUUGUGUUCAAUGUGGGAAGAGUUUUCGGCAAUCUUGCCAUCUGACUCUACACCAGAGAACGCACACAGGAGAGAACUCAUCAGAAAAUACAUGAAGGAGUUGUUUCAUGAUCUCAAUGAAAUAAUUUCACAAUGAAGAAUUUUUUUAACAUUGUAUUUGGAGUAUUUUAAGGUAUUUCACAAUGUAGAAUCCUAAACGUUUGCCCCCUGUUCUAUUGAUUUCACCAUGAUAUGGAUAUUAGCCUUGGGAAAAAUCCAGGCUCUGAAUUGAAAGAGUACUAUUUAUGUGAUUUAACAAAAAGUGACUACACUUCCCGUGUUGGUGACCCACUUGAAUCAAAAUGUAACACUUCAAAAUGUAGCGAGCUGUUUUCUACAAGUUGUCCUCUAACCAGUGAUGUACACAUUAUUCUCUGAUUCUGUGUGGUUUUUGAGCUGUUAGUUUUGACAGGACGUGCAACCUCAUCUCCCUCUCGGCACAAUUGAUUUCAACAUGAUAUCGAUGAGUGAUGUCAAAUAAGUGUUGCGUUCCUUAGUUUAGCGACCCCUAAAUUUAAAUGCAUCACUCCAAAAUAUAGUUGACUGUCUUCUGCAGGUUGUCCUAUAAUCAGUGAGGUAAAAGAUAUCUCCCAUUUCAAUGUGUUCUUUUAGUUGUGUUAGUUUCAACAGCGCGUACAACCUGAUUUCCCCCCUAAUCGAUAUCAGUGAUUUAUUGCUACUUGUCAAAACAAGUGUUUCUGAUGCUUGUGCCGUUUAUAAGGAGCUUGUUUAAAAAAUACAAGUAAUGUGAUUAUUGUGGCAGAUGUUUGUGUACAUAGCACAUUUUAUUUUUAGGUUUUCAAUAUAUCACAAACUGCAUAUUGGUUAUUGAUUUGAACACGUUAAAACUGUGUUUUUACUUUGGGGCUAUCCCACCGAGCAAAAUGUAAUUGAAAAGAAGACUAUGCCUGACAUCCAAUAUUUGUUCGGUUGUAGUUGAAAAUAUGUAUUUUGGGGUUAUUUUUUUAAUUACUUGAAAACAACGUAAUGUCAACGUACUUUCAGUAGCCGAGUGGUUAGAGCGUUUGGCAGUAACCGAAAGGUUGCUGGAUCGAAUCCCCGAGCUGAUAAACAUUUUGAAAGGUGGAUCUCUCUUCUGGCUCUUCACUGACUCCUUCCAUCAGCUUCUCCCAGGAUGACUUGCUCCUGGGUGGUGGGGGGCAUUGGACAGAAUUCCAAACUGGCAAUGCUCUGUUGGCACUCUCAGUUCACUUCCCAAAUCCCAUCCAAAAUAUGUUGUUCUCCCCCCAGUUAACCCACUGUUCCUAGGCUGUCACUGUCGAUAAGAAGUUGUUCAUAACUGACUUGCCUAGUUAAAUAAAAAGUGGACUAGAUUUCUAUUAGCUAGUGAGUUUUUGGGUUCUAUUAAAAAAAAUGGAAAAAAAAAAUAAUGUAUAUUAUUAUUUCGAUUUUUUUUUUUUUUUUGCUGUCUUCAAUUGUUGCCAGCCAGCAGACACCAUGUUUAUAUUGUAGAAGGUGAAGCAUUGUAGUUGAUUAUAAUGUGAAAUGGAAGUUGUUUUCUGUUGGUGGUGAGCAAACUCGUCCAUCAAAAAUAUAGGAUAUAUUUGUUGUCUUAAAGUGGAAUGUUUUACAGGCUUUGGUUUUUCCAUUUAUGUUGUGAGGUUGAACUUUCGCUCAUUAGCAUGUAGGACACAUUGAUUGGUGUCACCUCGUUAGUCAGUAUGUGUUACACCUGUACUGGCUUGUCCAUGUCGUUAGUGGGAAGGUGUUUCACCUGAGCUGGUCCAGGUUCUAUUUAAGAGUGUCUGGCCCAGUGCUCCAGUUGUCUUGAUAGAUGUGGAGAGUCAACACCUUUAGUUGCGUCCCAUUUUUAAGUUCGUUGUGUUUUUUUUAUUUUGUUUGUCGCUUCUUGGGAAGAUUUAGGGGGUCUCAUGGUGGGUGUCUUUUAGGUCCCCGUUGUUGUUACUAGUCAACUUUCAGUGGACAUUGAGAGCAAAAUUGCAAGCUUAUGUUAUAAUAUUUUUAUUGUAUCAAAUGGUUGUUUUAUGCAACAGAAUAGAGAGUUCUUAGAACUAUAGCGUCUGUGUGUUCUACUGAGGAUGGGCCCCUGGGUGAAAACACUGACAGGAGAUUUACAAUGUAUUUUAGGUGAUAAAACCUAAAGAGACCACAUUCCAGAGCAUGAGUUUCUGUUCGAUAUGGUACCAGGGAGAGAUGACCCCAGGGCCAGACCCUGGUCUUUACACAGAGGACUGUUUUUACAGCAGAUGCUGUCUGCUGUGAAUUCUAAAGAAAUUAACCACCACAUUUGGCAAUGGGGAUAUGAAUCCUGACUUGGUGACCGCUCCUGACGACCUGGGUAAACCGUGCACGGGGGAUCCCUCAAACCUGCAAUCUCAGGGAGACCACACUUCGGGAACGGAGCAGAUGAACCGACCUUUGAUCUGAGAGGCAGCGAGCGUACCCCUUAUCAUGCCUCAAAGAACCUUUUGGGGUUCAUUUUUUAAACUCCCUGUCCACCCUCCCUCCAUUAUAAAAACAUAUUUUAAUAAUAACAAUAUUGAUUUAAAUAAUUAAUUAUUUAUUUAAUGGCACCACAAAUGUGAAUUAAUAUUUACAAAACAAUUUACCAAACACAACACAUUACAAAAUUGCAACAUUUCUGCAAACAUGUCAGACCAUAAUAAAUAAUACAUUUACUUUGUUUAGUGCUUUUCAUGACAUUUUUUUUUUAAUUAAAUAAUGAUGUACAAUAUAAACAACAUACAUUAAAAAUGAAUCAUAGGUAAACUAACAAUAUUGUAGACUUGAUGCUAAAUACAGAUUUGUCAGCUUUAGUGUGUAUAUCAUAUUCACUUAGUUAUGUUAGGAAGUUUGCCAUCUUUAUGACCGGCCCUGUUAACUUCACCCCAACUUCUCUUCUCCCCAGAACACAGUAACUUAAGAACAUAAGUGUUUUUAUGAAAUUUUGGGGAAAAUUUAUGGAAAAUAAAAAAUCCAGCCGUAGCAGAGACCCAAGUCCCAUGGGGACGUCCUCGAGGGUGUGGAUGUUCUCCCCAUCAAAGGCCAGUGGGAUUUCACUCUAAUGGUGAAAUGGAUUUCCACUGAUGUGCAGUAAAGAAAUGAAGAGCGGUGAAAUCUGUGUCAACAAAAGUAAGAAAAGAUUAAUACACAUACAAAGAACAUAAAUGUUCAGCUGUAGUUUUAUAUAAGCAUGCACACCUAUGUUUAUGAAGAAACAGAUGAUUGGUGCAUAGGCAUAUCACAGACAUAAAGGCCAGUCGGGUCCUCAUUGAAGAGGUUGGGCAAGAGCAGGAUCGCUGCUGUGGUCUCCAGUCCAAGUAAAGUAAAGCAAUGAUCUUACUACACUUGAUAAUUUUAUUACAAAAUACAUUAGAGAAAGGGAAGGAAUAAGAGCAAAUACCUAUUUUGUAUUGUCCUUCAAGGACAGUCAAAAUAGCAGGAUGAUGUCCUCACCCCUGCCUCGCCUCUCUACCUCUGAUAGUCCUUCAAUUCUCUUUUUGUCUAUAUGGACUUGAUUCAUUUCUGAGAAGAUCUGAAAAGAUAAUUUGCAAACAUUUGUAUGCUAAUAGAUGUCUGUUUGUUUUGACUGCUAUGAAAGUUGAAUGUACACUUCAAAUACAGCAUAUCUGUACCUU